CCAAACUAUUGGAGCGGAUAAAAUUGGAAACAUAGAAGAUUAGCAUGGCCCUGUCACAAGGGUUGACAUGCACAAGCUGAGAAGUGGUUCAAAUUCUU
rnacentral:snRNA from 1 species